AUGAGUUUGGGUGAACUCUGGGAGUUGGUGAUAGACAGGGAGGCCUGGCGUGCUGCAAUUCAUGGGGUCGCAAAGAGUCGGACAUGACUGAGUGACUGAAGUGAACUGAACUGAACUGAUGGGCACUAAAUAUAGGCAGGUGGUACAGUAUUGCAGGCCAGGACAAAACCCUUAGGCAGGGGUGCCGUUAUCUCAGAAUGGUGUUACUGCUUGUAUUUGCUUAGUAGUUAGUAGUUGUGAUCUUCCUGUAUUGGGCCUGUUAAACAUCUUGCAACUCAUCCUACUCUGAGUGAAGGGAAUCUGUUUGUGAACUGGGUGACCAUGAUGGCCUCACCACAAAAUGAGGUGAUUGGUGAGUCUACAGCAAAAGGAGCUAUUGUCGACCUCUGAAGUUCCCCGAAAAAUCGACUUGAUAAGCACCUGACUCCAAAGCUUGCCUGCCUCUUGGAUGGUCUGUAUGGCAUUUGUGGUAUUUGGUUGCAAUGCACCUCUAUCUACCUAUCCUCAGGGAUAUUGCAGAAGAGGGAUGGGCUGAGAUUAUAAGGGUCAUACAUGUAUGGGUGGAAUGUAUGACUAGGCAAUUCAGGAUGGCUGUUUGCUGUCUGUACAUCUCCUCCUCAACCAGGCCCUGCUUCACUCACAUGACUAUUCAAUCCUCUUAAUUAUAGGGCUUAAUAGUAAUUGCCUACUUGCUUGCUCCCUGUCCCAGCUGCUGGUUUCCCAGCAGCUUUUGAUGAGCCAGUCUGACAUUAAUUCCCCCUAUAAAUGGUAGUCUCCUUCUUCCCCAAGUAGCAAAGACUGCUGCCACAUCCUGUCUGCCACACACAGUGAGGUGCUGCUUCUGGACCUUGCUUCAGAUGUGUAAGAUCCUCUAUCAAAUAAGACACUGAUGACUCUUGCUACCUUGAGGCUCUUUCUUCAGUCCUGAGGCUGGGCAACUGCAAGACUUGCAGGCCUGCAGGGUACAACCCAAUGGUUGUUCCUGAGACCUUUCCAAGGCGGACAAUGCCUGCUCUGGCUUACCACCUGCAGAAACAUCUUGGCUUCCUCAGCAACCAGUUCACAUUCCUUGGCUUGCCUGUGCCUUCGGUGAUCACUGUUUAUCAGAUGAUUCUAAACAAGUUCUGACACAGGCAACCUGGCAAACUCUCACCACCUAGUGUCAUCUGCAAAUACACAUUUUCCAA